UAAAUAGUGAUGUAUUUGUCAAGAAUUGGGUGCUUUUUUCAGGGGUUUCCAUGAUGUACUUGGCUAGAAACUUGUUCUAAUUUUUAAAGUAGAUCUUAUUUUAGGGAAUGUUGCAUUCCAUGGUGAUGAAUUUCUACAAAGCAGCAUGUUUUUUCUUUCCAUUUUGGAGUUGGUUGAAUUCUCUUAUUGAAAAGAAAAAUUCUUACUUUGAAAUCUCAGGUGUGAAAGAAACAAUAAAGUGAAAGCCAGGGCC
rnacentral:lncRNA from 1 species